GACAGAGGGGGCAAGCGUUGCUCGGAAUCACUGGGCGUAAAGGGCGCGUAGGCGGCCCGCUAAGUCGAACGUGAAAUCCCCGGGCUCAACCCGGGAACUGCGUCCGAUACUGGCAGGCUUGAAUCCGGGAGAGGGAUGUGGAAUUCCAGGUGUAGCGGUGAAAUGCGUAGAUAUCUGGAGGAACACCGGUGGCGAAGGCGGCAUCCUGGACCGGUAUUGACGCUGAUGCGCGAAAGCCAGGGGAGCAAACGGG
rnacentral:rRNA from 1 species